GAAACAUUUACCGACUACGUGAGGAAGGCAAACAACUUCGUAAAGCCCAUCAGGACUUGCACACACAGCUGCAGGAGAAGAGGCAACAGCAUGGCCAGCUGGUCAUUGAUCAUGAGCAUCUCAAGAACAUCGUGAAAGAGCAGAGCAUGAAAUUGGCUGAUGCACAAAUGCACAUUGCUGAGUACCAGCAGCUGAAAGACGCUGUACGCAGGGUACCUGGGAUCAUCCCCGCUGGUAACGCUCAGGUCAACAACCCAGCACAGCAUGCCGCAGUUCCAGAAAAACCAGCGAUGCAGUAUGGAAGACCUGAAGGCUAUAAGGCCACAGGAGAAAGGACAAACACAGAAAGAGACAGGAAACUACAUAUGUGGAAAGAGCAAGUAACAUCAAAAGCAGUGGACGUGCACACAGGGUUGAAACGGAAUGAAUCCAAGGCUCUUGCUCCAUCAGGGCACGUCACAGUACCAGCACCACAGAUACAUGUGCCACAGGGCGUUCUACACAGCCACUAUGAAGAGCAGCUGGAACAGCAGCAGCUGGCCUACCAGCAUGAGGCUGAGGCUGCCCAGCUUCGCAAGCAGCAGGACCAGCGUUAUUGGCAGCAGUUCACACUUCAACGCAAGGCCGACACAUAUAGAUCACAUGAACAGAAAGGACAAUUGGAGCAACAGAAUCUGGUCCCGCAGAAUGAGAUUUCCUGGCAGCAGCAGCAGCAGCAGCAGCAGUUGCAGCACUGGCAGCAAAAAUCAACAACUAAAGCAGUCUAUUUGGACAACAGACCACAUGUAGCCCAAAUAAAGUACGUAUUCCAAAAACGUUGGAAAAUAGAAACACAGAGGUCAGAUAAAAUAUAACAAUGGAGGUUGGAAAACAAAUCUACCUUCUAAUUUUAUCUUUUAUUUUGCUUUCCUUUGAGUUUUUUUGUACACCGCGCCUUCCCAAUUCCACAUCCAGGCGAUGCAUGACGCCAUCAACAGGCGCCGAAGGAAGGGAGUACUCAGUUUUCGCUCCAUUUUCUUGUUUGUUACUUGCAAAAUUGAAGAAUUUUCAAGUAUAUUGGUCAGUCGAUUUUGUUAUUCUGUCUCUUUGAUUGUUUGUCUGUCUGUUUAUCACCUAUAGGUCACAAUUUUAAACCGAUCUUUACGAAUCUUCACCACAUGGAAGUUUGUCAUAAGGGAGAAGCCUAUUGUUUUUGAGUUCAAAUGGUCAAAAGGUCAACAUCGACCAAAGGUCAACAACUUCGGUGAGAUUUCUAAAAUCCUCAAUUUUCAUCCGAUUGACUUGAAAUUUGAGGAGGAUUUACAUUUCAGGGCACUGAAUUCAACUAGCCAAUUAUUUUUGAGGUCAACAUGGACAAAAAGGUCAACAUAGGCCCAAGGUCAACAACUAAGGUGGUAUUUUUAAAAUCCUCAAUUUUCACCUGAUUCACUUGAAGUUUCAAGAGGAGUUGCAAAUUUGGUCAUUGAAUUCAACCACAAAUUAUUUUUGAGGUCAAAUUUGUUUGAUGGAUUUUGCAAGUACGUAUCAUGCGCUGCACGACG
rnacentral:lncRNA from 1 species